UACAGAGGUCCCAAGCGUUGUUCGGAUUCACUGGGCGUAAAGGGUGCGUAGGUGGUGAGGUAAGUCGGAUGUGAAAGCUCGGAGCUCAACUCCGAAAUGGCAUUGGAAACUACCUUGCUCGAGGGUUGGAGGGGGGACUGGAAUGCUUGGUGUAGCAGUGAAAUGCGUAGAGAUGUGGAGGAACACCAAUGGCGAAGGCAGCCUUCUGGGCCAACACUGACGCUCAUGCACGAAAGCGUGGGGAGCAAACAGG
rnacentral:rRNA from 1 species